ACAACUUAGUGACUUAAAUGAGAA
rnacentral:siRNA from 1 species